GACGAACGCUGGCGGCGUGCUUAACACAUGCAAGUCGAACGGAAAGGCCCUGCUUUUGUGGGGUGCUCGAGUGGCGAACGGGUGCGUAACACGUGAGUAACCUGCCCUUGACUUUGGGAUAACUUCAGGAAACUGGGGCUAAUACCGGAUAGGAGCUCCUGCUGCAUGGUGGGGGUUGGAAAGUUUCGGCGGUUGGGGAUGGACUCGCGGCUUAUCAGCUUGUUGGUGGGGUAGUGGCUUACCAAGGCUUUGACGGGUAGCCGGCCUGAGAGGGUGACCGGCCACAAUGGGACUGAGAUACGGACCAGACUCCUACGGGAGGCAGCAGGGGGGAAUAUUGCACAAUGGGCGGAAGCCUGAUGCAGCAACGCCGCGUGCGGGAUGACGGCCUUCGGGUUGUAAACCGCUUUCGCCUGUGACGAAGCGUGAGUGACGGUAAUGGGUAAAGAAGCACCGGCUAACUACGUG
rnacentral:rRNA from 1 species